UACGGAGGGUGCAAGCGUUGCUCGGAAUUACUGGGCGUAAAGCGCGUGUAGGCGGUUUCGUGUGUCUGAUGUGAAAUCCCCGGGCUCAACCCGGGAAGUGCAUUGGAAACUGCGAGACUAGAGUCCCGGAGAGGAAGGUGGAAUUCCAGGUGUAGCGGUGAAAUGCGUAGAUAUCUGGAAGAACACCGGUGGCGAAGGCGGCCUUCUGGACGGUGACUGACGCUGAGACGCGAAAGCGUGGGGAGCAAACAGGAUUAGAUACCCUGGUAGUCCACGCCAUAAACGAUGGGCACUAGGUGUCGCGGGUAUUGACCCCUGCGGUGCCACAGCUAACGCAUUAAGUGCCCCGCCUGGGGAUUACGGCCGCAAGGUUAAA
rnacentral:rRNA from 1 species